UACGAAUGGGGCAAGCGUUGUUCGGAAUAACUGGGCUUAAAGCGUGCGCAGGCGGACAAGAAAGUCAGGAGUGAAAUCCCAGGGCUCAACCCUGGAACUGCUCUUGAAACUCCUUGUCUAGAAUUCGGGAGAGGUCAGUAGAAUUCCUAGUGUAGAGGUGAAAUUCGCAGAUAUUAGGAGGAAUACCAGUGGCGUAGGCGACUGACUGGACCGAUAUUGACGCUCAUGUACGAAAGCGUGGGGAGCAAACAGG
rnacentral:rRNA from 1 species